rnacentral:rRNA from 1 species
AUUGAACGCUGGCGGCAGGCCUAACACAUGCAAGUCGAGCGGAUGAAGGGAGCUUGCUCCUGGAUUCAGCGGCGGUCGGGUGAGUAAUGCCUAGGAAUCUGCCUGGUAGUGGGGGAUAACGUCCGGAAACGGGCGCUAAUACCGCAUACGUCCUGAGGGAGAAAGUGGGAGAUCUUCGGACCUCACGCUAUCAGAUGAGCCUAGGUCGGAUUAGCUAGUUGGUGGGGUAAAGGCCUACCAAGGCGACGAUCCGUAACUGGUCUGAGAGGAUGAUCAGUCACACUGGAACUGAGACACGGUACAGACUCCUACGGGAGGCAGCAGUGGGGAAUAUUGGACAAUGGGCGAAAGCCUGAUCCAGCCAUGCCGCGUGUGUGAAGAAGGUCUUCGGAUUGUAAAGCACUUUAAGUUGGGAGGAAGGGCAGUAAGUUAAUACCUUGCUGUUUUGACGUUACCAACAGAAUAAGCACCGGCUAACUUCGUG